rnacentral:rRNA from 1 species
UACGACGUUGAUAGGUCGGGUGUGUAAGCGCAGCGAUGCGUUGAGCUAACCGAUACUAAUGAACCGUGAGGCUUAACCUU